GUGCGAUUUAUUUAUUUAUUUCCAGUCGAAGAUGUCGGAGCCGGAGCCGCCGGUUGGCUGGAAGGCGCUUUCUCUGUGGAGGCCGAUCGCGGGAGGGAGGGAGCGAGCGAGCGAGCAAGGGGGGCCGGGCACGGCUCCGCGGAGGAAUCUGACGCACACGGAGCCGCAGCACAGGCUCUAUUCAGCGGCCGCUGGCUGGGGCUGAGAUGGAAGUUAGUUUCUCUGUAGCAGAAAUAGGAAACAAAUGAAGCAAAACUGCCCAAAGAGGGGAAAUGCCCCGAGGACGGGUCUCGCUCUCACGCGCGCGCACAGACACUACACGCAGAGAGCACUCUCACGCUGGGCAAACUCGGGAUCGCGCUACCCUGCCCGAGUUGAAUGAUAGUGUUUGGUUUCUGUCUCUUUGCCAUGUGCAUGUGUAUAAAUGCUGCGGAUGGGCAUCUGUAUUGCUUCCUCAACCCUUGUACCCUCCAAGCUCCUUACAUUCCUAGUGGGAAAUACUUGCUGCAACUGCCGUGGGCUGCAUUGCAAGACUGCACCGGUGUGAUGCCUUGUACUGAAAAAGCCAGAAAUCACCAUACAUGUGAGAGGGGAUUCACCUAAACCUCUUUGGAAUAAUGGGAUGUAAAAAAUUGCCUUUUAUAACAAUCUUAACCAAAUGUUUUUAAAAAGAGAAGUUACCAUGACUUGUGCUAUGGCAGCCGAGUUAUCAGAGUCACUGUUAUUUCUUGAAAUGGCUAUCCUUCAAGUCCUGGAAAUAUUUGCAUUUUUAAAGACAUUAAUCCAUUUUAUGUAAUAUAGAUAAAGUAGCUUGCUUCUAGCUGGUUAGGUUUGAAAAGAUAGACAUUUAAUAUGCCUUUUUGAAAUUCUGUUUAUUUCUAUGACAAAUCCUAUUUUAUCUUAACUUUUGAGAAGUAUCUUUCUUCAAUAACUGUGGGGUGGUUUUUUUUUGCAUUAUGAUCUUCAAAUAAACAGAUUUUUGAAACUAAAAAUUACAGUUAGAAUUUUGAAGUUUUAAAAUGCAUGUAUUAGCCUGAUUCUUACUAAUAGAUGUUUUAUCCUUGCUAAAGAAAAUAAACCAAAUUAUGACAUGGAAUAUAAAAUUACUCCGGGUAAAGUUUUCUAUAUAUAUCUUGUUAGUAUUAUGUAAACAUGGAGAGCUAGUAUGAAUAUCUUAUGUAUGCUUUUCAUUUAUAAGCUUUUCUUAAGUAUGCUGCUAGUACUUAGCUCCUAAAACAAUUUUAAGGAAAAUUUUCCUUGUAAAUUUUCUGAAUAUGAUGUUCCUGUCAUUUUGACUAACCUUUGACAAUGUUUAUAGUUUUUUUUUUCCGAAGACCUAAGCCUGCCUUUGAACUAAUUUAUAAC
ensembl:lncRNA